GCCACUCGAAACAUUGAAGGAGCGAGCCCAAUGCUAAUCCCACCACUCUCAUGGCCAAGCCUUCUCCAGGACAGCUCCUCCUUCCAUGCCCGAAAGGCAUCAACUUGAACUCGUCUCUUCCCCCCUCCGGGUUGUCGAACCUCUCAGGUCUGAAUUUUGUAGGGUCUGGCCAGAUUUUAGGGUCAUUUUGAAUGGCCCAAUUAUUUACAGAGAGCAUCGUGCCCCGUGGAAUGCGGAAUCCCCCAACCAGGCAUUCUUCUGAUGACUCAUGAGGUACUAGCAACGGAGCUGGCGGGUACAUCCGUAACGUCUCGUUGAGGAUGCUGCGGAGGUAGGGAAGGCGUGCAAGAUCAGCUUCAUCCAUGAAACGAUCAUGCCCAAUCUGCUCGUCGAUUUCUCCCUGAGCCUUCUCGAGGACUUGGGGAUGGUUGAGCAACAGUGAAAGUGCCCAUUCCAUUGUAGCAGAUGAAGUGUCUGUUCCCGCCAACAAGAGCACCUGCAAACCAAACCAAAUUGUGGUGUAAUUAAUUCCAUAGACGAUGCAAGCAGUGGAGAUAUCUUGUAGAAAUAAAUAAAUAAAAGACGAUGCAAAGAAAAUCACCAAAGUGACCUCCUACACCCUUGUCAGUUCAAUGCACCUUGGUUGUGUCUUAUGAGUUAUGACUUGAAUAUUCUAAUUCACAGGUUUGCCAUUGCGCAUUUCAUUAACCAUUAUCUUGACAAAAGCUACAUGAUCCAAAGACAAAAAAUGUCCCUUCUUCCACGCAAAGUAGCGGUGUCCGUACUAACUUCCAUUAUCUAUAUAAUUGGUGAUAACAUUAGUCCAUUAAACAUCUCAAUGUUAAAAUGGCUACUUAAUGUUAACAUUUUAAAGCUACAAGAUUCCUCUUACAAAAUAACUAGUCCAUUUAAAAAGAUCGAUAGACAAAAACAUGUCCCUUCAAUGAUUCACAUUACAAUAUAAUGAAGAACAUUUGACAAUUCUGAAUUAUGAUCUAAACAAAAAAGAACAGUGCUGCAUAUCGGUAUCCCAACUCAAUUGAUCAUAAUAAUUAGUAAAUCAAACAACAUGAUUAAACAUCUUACCAGUAUAAUCCCUUUGAUGACAUCGUCCGAGUAAUACCCAGAUUCCGUUUCUUGCAGGGACAGCAGAACCUGAAUCAAAUUCGUUUUCUUUUCGCCACAACAAUCACUCUCCACUAUUUUUCUCCGCUGCUCUUCUAUCAAGUACUGCAUGAAACUAUCGCUCUUUAGAUGGCACUCUGUCAAUCUCUUCUCCAUCUUUUUUGAUUUAAUCCACGGUAUAAAGUCUCCAAUAAUGGUUUUGCCACCUAGCAAGAAGCUUUCAGCAUGAAUUGCGCGAAACCUUUUUGCUUCUUCCACAUCAGAAACAUCCUCUCCAUAAUAUCUCUUUCCAGCUAUCAUCCGCAUCAUUAUAUUCAGUGUCAAUUCGAAGAAAACUGUCUUCAUAUCUACAAUCUGAUUUUGAUUACGAAAGAGAACACAAAUCAUUGACUUCACCUCCUCCAGACGUAUGGCAGAGAGCAUUUGGAGGCGGUGUGCAGACAGGACUUCAAUAGAGACGAUUCUCCUAAGGUUUCGCCAGUGGUCGCCAUAGGGAGCCCAAGCAAGGCUUGUGCUGUUGUAGGCGAGGUGUUUUGCAAUGAGCAAACGUGGGCGGUUUGCAAAGACAACAUCAUUUUUGGUAAAGCAUUCUUCAGCUAUCGAAGGGGAUGAGACAACAAGUUGUCGACGAGACCCGAGUUGGAGCAAGAUUACGGGGCCAUGUUUACUAGAGAUUUUUGAUAGUGUCCUGUAAAUUGGCUUCUUAAGUAGGUAGAGAUGGCCAAUGAUUGGUAGUGAAGGGAAUGGACUCGGUGGGAAGUUUCUUAUCUUGUUUAGGAAGUGCGCUGUUAUGAUAUACAAGGCUAAAAACACAGGAAAGUAGAGAAAGAAGGUUGCCAUGGAUUUGGCAAUAGCCACUGCCACUGUCCUUGUUUUUUAGGGAGGUGUGUGAAUUAUAUUGUGCGUGUCUUGAUGAGAGCAUCUAUAUGUUAAUUAUUUCAUACUAGGAGUCACGGAAAUGAAAGAAACAGAAUUGAAAUUUCUUGAGGUCGAGUCUGCUCGUCUUAUCUCAUCGAUAUAAAAAGCAACUAUGGACGUGAUGACUGAUGAGGUCAGUGCAGACGUGUCUGUAUUGAACUAGUUACGUGCGAAGUUAUUAAACGGGACACGACACGAGCUUUUGGUAAUGACUAAUGAGUUAAAUAUUAAGCAUAACAUGCGUUUGAAGAUUUUUUUAAAAUAUUAAAUAUAAUAUUGUUUAAAUUUCUUUUCAAAAAAUAAUUUUUAUAUGGUUAAUUCAAUUAAAAGUUGACUUAUCAAGUCAGAAAUUCAUUCGACACUUAGCGCAGGAGCUAGAAACCAAAACAUAUAUAGAUCAUGCAAGGAACGCCAUAAUCAACUAACAGCUACGAUCUCUAGAGAGAAUUAGUUGCCAAGUUGGGAAAUCACAUGUAUCCCUUCCAAAGGUGCCCAGAGGACGGGGCAGACGCAUCAGAGCGACAACCCGGGAGCGGAUUCCCUACCGGCAAGGGGGCAGGAGACGGUCAUCUCGAGGCACAUCACGACCUACAGGCAAGAUCGACGAGGCUAGUGGAGGUCACGACCCACGGCAAGGUGGCCUUCCACGCAGUCACUAUAUCUAUAUGAAUAUCGUUCUUGAACUUCUAGAGCUAGCCCAGUCCAAAAGAGGCUAGUGAAGGUCACAUGAAUGGAAAGCCCUUGAUUCCUAAUUUAAAAAAAAAAAAACAAAAAAACCAAAGAUUUCUUGCUUUUAUUGCCAAAUCGUAUGUGAACAAAUUUUAUUUGCUGCAAUGCUCCCUUGUUUUCUAAAAUCUUAGUCAUUUCGCAAGUGGCACUUAUGAAAAUUCUUCCUUUUUCAAAUUAUAUACAAAAGCAUGGUAGUGUCUCCAUUCUCCACAAGUCUCAACUUACGAGAGCAGGUGCUAUCUGCUAGAUUAGAAAAAGGCAUGGCAAUGUCUGAAAGAACAAGGCAAAUUCAACUGAUAAAAAACUACCGAAGCAAAGAGACUGUGAACAAAUGGCAAGAGUAAAGGUUUCCCUACUUUUUUUUAUGCAGCAUAUAAAUGGAGGGAGGAUAUAUGAUACGUGGCAGUUAUUCUUUCGAUCACAAGUGAAAUGGAAGGCAGCCAUUUUUUUUUUUAUAAGCAAAAGGUAAUAAAGCCCAAGAAAGGCACAAACCAUAGCCAUGUGAUAAUAUGGAAACUGUCAUAAUCUAUUUUUCAAUUAUUUUUUAAAUUUACUUUUAAAAAUAAAUAUAUAACAUAAAAUAAAAUAAAAACUUGUGAUAUGGAGAAAACAUAUCAAAAAGGAUCCCAAACAUAUAGGAAAAUAAAGUUGCAAUUUUAGAUAAAUUUUGAGGCCUGAUUAUACAUCAUUAUACCCAGGAUUGAAGAUACAAUGCAGAUUCAAGGUCAAAUUAAAUAAUUACUGGAUGAAUUUGUAUAAAAAUUAAAUCCAAUGAUAUAAUUAAAUUUUUAAUAAACCCAUUCGAUUUAAUCAUGAGUCAAAUUAAAGUUUAAUUAUGUUUGAGAAUUAAUUUGGGUCCAAUUGAAGAAUUUAAUUAGGUGCAAGGACGUAAUUAAAUUUUAAAUGAGUCAAAUUAAUUUUAUUAAGGGUUUAGUUAGUGAAAACUUAAUUUUGGAAGCCUAAUUUGGGUUUAAUUGAAAAUAUUAGAAUUUUAGGAAAUCAAAUUUAAUUUUUACAAAAUCAAUUGAUUGAAAUCAUGGAUAAAAUAAAAUAAAGUUUUCAGGUUGGGUAGGGGAUAAAUUAAAGAAUUUUAUAGCUAAUGAUCAAUUUACAAAAGUCGUCGAACUAUAAAAGCUUAAUUCAUUGCAAUCGAGGUGAAAAUAAAGAAAUUAAAAGUUUCAUGGUUAAUUAGGUGCACAAUUAUAUAAAUCCGAGAUCAAUGACUAAAAUGAAAACAACAUAAAAUGAGGUCUGAUAUUAUAAUUCAACGGGGCCUAAAUUAUAUUAAAUCCAAAGUUUAGGGUUAAUUAAAUGUACAAUUAAAGAAAUCAAAAGUCAAAUGACCAAAAAGAACUUUGACUAAAAUUUAUAAUUCAAACAUAAAACAAUGACAUUUCAAAUUAAAAAAAUAAAAAACCAAACAUCAUUAACAAUACUCUAAAAGACAUGGAAAUGUAUUGUAGCUUCUCCCAUGCCUUUUAUUUUCGUUGUACUAAUAUCUUUAUUUUUUUUGUCUUUAAAUUCCUCACGCCUUUUAUUUUUGUUGUACUAAUAUAUAUAUAUAUAUAUAUUUUUACAUGUUUUCCCCCCAUGAUUCACUUCUUUUUAAAAAAAAUUAUAUGUUUUUUUCAAAAUUAUUUUUGCUGAUUGUUUUUUAAUAUUAAACUAGUUGAGAAUUUCGCUCUGUUAUUUAAAACAAAACAUUGUAAAUUGAUAAGGUAUUUUCCUCACAUGGUUUUUCUUUUGCUACAAUAUCUCUUUAUAUGGUUUUUUUUUCAAAAUUCUCUUUGUUGAUUUUUUUUUUAAUAUUGAGCUGGUUAACAAUUUAUCUUUAACUUUCCCCGCAUGUUUUUUUCUUUAUUUUUUGUUUUUUUAUUUUUUUCCCAAAAUUGUGUUAUUUUUUCUGUGUGUUUUUUUUUAGAAUUGUUUUUGUCGACUUUAUUUUUUUAAUAUUGAACUGGUUGAGAAUUUAGCUUUAUAGAUUUUUCAUUAAAACACUGUUGAUUGCUAUAGUGUUUUUCCAUAUGGUUUUGUUUUUCCAGAAUUGUCUUUGUUAAUUUUAGUUUUUUUCAUAUUUAGCCGAUUGAUAAUUUAGAUUUGUAGUUUUUUUCUUAAAAAAAAAAAACAUUGUGGAUCGUUACAAUAUUUAUCUACAUGAUUUUUCCUUGCUACAAUGUUUUUUCACAUGUUUUUUUAUCAAUUUUUUUCAAAUUUAUCUUUGUCAAAUUUAUUUUUUCUAUAUUAAGUUAGUUGAAAAUUUAGUUUUGUAGCUUUUUUCUUCAAAACACCGUUGAUUGCUAAAGUGUUUCCUCACAUGAUUGAUUUUUGUUAUAAUUAUUUUCAAAAAUUUCUUUAUCGAUUUUAUUGUUUUUAAUAUUGAACUGAUUGAAAAUUACAACUGUAGAUUUUCUCAUGAAACACUGUAGAUUACUACAGUGUUUUCAUGCAUAGUUUUUUUUUUCCUUUCGUUUUUAAUUUUUUUUUAAAAUUAUCUUUAUUGAUUUAUUUUUGUAAUAUCGAGUUGGUUGAUAAUUACAACUGUAUAUUUCAUCACAAAAUAUUUUAGAUUGCUGCAGUGUUUUUUCUACAUAAUUAUUUUUUCUUUUGUUUUUUUUAUGAUUUUUUUCAAAAUUAUCCUUGUUUAUUUUUUUUUUAAUAUUAAACUGGUUAGAAAUUUAGCUUUGUAGUUUAAUUUUUCUUGAAAAUAUUGUGGAUUGUAAUAGUAUUUCUCUAUGUAAUUAUUUUUUAUGAUUUUUUCUAUAAAUGCAUAAUAACAUAUAAACAUGCUAUAAAUCCACGGCAGCACGCGGCCAUGGCAACUAGUAUCAUCUCGAUACUGUUUAUUAUCUUUAUAUUAUUAUUAUUCACCUAAAAAGCCAUAGGAUGCAUGCUUGGGCGUGCCCUACAUCUAGCUUGCAGUGGUUUUGCCUUUGUACUGGUAAACCCGGGCCCCUCGGUCAUAUCCACCAUUUUAUCACCAAUCUUCUGCCAACCGAAACAUUGAAGGAGCGAGCCCAAUGCUAAUCCCACCACUCUCAGGGCCAAGACUUCUCCAGGACAGCUCCUCCUUCCAUGCCCGAAAGGCAUCAACUUAAACCCGUCUCUUCCCCCCUCCGGGUUGUCGAACCUCUCAGGUCUGAAUUUUGUAGGGUCUGGCCAGAUUUUAGGGUCAUUUUGAAUGGCCCACAUAUUUACAGAGAGCAUCGUGCCCCGUGGAAUGCGGAAUCCUCCAACCAGGCAUUCUUCUGAUGACUCAUGAGGUAGUAGCAACGGCGCUGGCGGGUACAUCCGCAACGUUUCGUUGAGGAUGCUGCGGAGGUAGGGAAGGUGGGCAAGAUCAGCUUCAUCCAUGAAACGAUCAUGCCCAAUCUGCUCGUCGAUUUCUCUUUGAGCCUUCUCGAGGACUUGGGGAUGGUUGAGCAACAGUGAAAGUGCCCAUUCCAUUGUAGCAGAUGAAGUAUCUGUUCCCGCCAACAAGAGGACCUACACACCAAACCGAAUAGUGGUAAUUAAUUCCAUAGACGAUGCAAAGAAAGUCACCAAAGUGACCUCCCACUCCCUUGUCAAUUCACAAUGGUGGUGUAACUUGACACGGAAACAACUUCUAGCAGUGGAGGUAUCUUACUGCUUGUAGAAAUAUCAAAUAAAGAUGAUGCAAAUCAAAUCACCAGAGUGAUCUCCCACACCCUUGUCAAUUCAAUACACCUUGGUUGCGUCUAUUUCUAAUACAUAAAGUUUGGUGCUAUACAUUAGACUUGUGAGUCACCUAAUCUCAAGGCAAUUAGACUUAGCAUGCUAAGUUCUAAGUGAAGUAGGUCUAAUUGAUAUUUAUUUUUCAUUCAGUAUUAUCAAUAAUUACAAUGCAAUUCCUCAUAUUUUACAUAAAAACAAGAUUUAGAAGCUAUAUAUACAUGAUAAAUGCUUCAUAAAAAAGUUUAUAUUUUUCAAUUCUCUACUCCUUUAAUAUUUGAAAUUUAUCACCGAAUGAUUUUUAAGUUCCUCCAAUUAAAAUUGUUUUUUUAGUAUUCAAGACUAUCUUUGUAAAUUUAAAGUUUUUUAAAUUUAAAAACAUUUGAAUACCUUAACUUAAUAAUUAACUCCUGUCCCAAAAACUAAAUAAACUAUUAAUUUAUAUUGAAAAUUUUAAUAUUUAACAUGUCAAUGUUAAAAAGGUUACUUAAUGUCAACAUUUUAAAGCUACAAGAUUCCUCUUACAAAAUAACCAGUCCAUUUAACAAGAUCGAAAGAAAAAACAUGUCCCUUCAAUGAUUCACAUUAUAAUACAAUGAAGAACAUUUGACAAUUCUGAAUUAUGAUCUAAACAUAAAAGAACAGUGCUGCAUAUCGGUAUCCCAACUCAAUUGAUCAUAAUAAUUAGUAAAUCAAACAACAUGAUUAAAGAUCUUACCAGCAUAAUCCCUUUGAUGAGAUCGUCCGUGUAAUACCCAGGUUCAGUUUCUUGCAGGGACAGCAGAACCUGAAUCAAAUUCGUUUUCUUUUCGCCACAACAAUCACUCUCCACUAUUUUUCUCCGCUGCUCUUCUAUCAAGUACUGCAUGAAACUAUCGCUCUUUAGAUGGCACUCUAUCACUCUCUUCAACAUCUUUUCUGAUUUAAUCCACGGUAUAAAGUCUCCAAUAAUGGUUUUUCCACCUAGCAAUAGGGUUUCAGCAUGAAUUGCUCGAAACCUUUUUGCUUCUUCAACAUCAGAAACAUCCUCUCCAUAAUAUCUCUUUCCAGCUAUCAUCCGCAUCAUUAUAUUCAGUGUCAGUUCGAAGAAAACUGUCCUCAUAUCUACAAACUGGUUCUGAUUACGGAAGAGAACACAAAUCAUUGACUUCACCUCCUCCAGACGUAUGGCAGAGAGCAUUUGGAGGCGGUGUGCAGACAAGACUUCAAUAGAGACGAUUCUCCUAAGGUUUCGCCAGUGGUCGCCAUACGGAGCCCAAAGAAGGCUUGUGGUGUUGUAGGCGAGGUGUUUUGCAAUGAGAUAGCCUGGGCGGUUUGCAAAGACAACAUCAUUUUUGGUAAAGCAUUCUUCAGCUAUCGAAGGGGAUGAGACAACAAGUUGUCGACGAGACCCGAGUUGGAGCAAGAUUACGGGGCCAUGUUUACUAGAGAUUUUUGAUAGUGUCCUGUAAAUUGGCUUCUUAAGUAGGUAGAGAUGGCCAAUGAUUGGUAGUGAAGGGAAUGGACUCGGUGGGAAGUUUCUUAUCUUGUUUAGGAAGUGCGUUGUUAUGAUAUACAAGACUAAAAACACAGGAAAGUAGAGAAAGAAGGUUGCCAUGCAUUUGGCAAUGGCGUCGGUUUCUUUUUUGUUAUUAUUAAUAUGGGAGUCUGGAUUUAGAAAGUUACCUUAAAUUGUUUUGUGCGUGUCUUGGUACUAGGAGGCACAGUAAUGAAAGUAACAGGGUUGAAAUUUCUUGUGGUCGAGCAUGCUUGGCUUAUCUCAUCAUAUUAAAAGCAACGAUGGACGUGUUGAGGCCAGUGCUGACGUAUUUGUAUUGAACUAGUUACCUGCGAAGUUAUUAAACGGGACACAACACGAAUUUUUGGUAAUGAGACAGGCUAGGUGGAGCAUGUAGUAUUUAUUCUUAAAUACAUACAUACAUACAUACAUACACACACACGUAAAUAUACAUAUUAAAAUAACUUUUUUAUUUCUAAAAUUUAUUUUUAAUAUUAAUAUUGUCCCAUUCGACAUUACAACGACCUAUAAAACAAAUUAAUUCAAAAAAAAAUAAAAAUUGAUAUCUUGUUUUUAAAUAAAAAAAAAUUUAAUUCAAAGAGUUGUUAUCUAGUAUUAUAUUCACUAAAAAAUCUAAUUGGUUAUGAUAAAUAAUCGUGUUGAAAGAUUAUUUUCUUAUUGAUAUUAUGUUGAAUGGAUGUAUCAAAAGAUUAUUUCAUGAUUAAUUAAAAUAAUAUCAUAUUAAAUAAACAUGUUGAAAGAUUAUUUCAUGAUUAAUAAAAAUAAUAUUUUAUUGAAUAGACGUGUUGAAAAAUUAUUUUUUAUUAAUAAAAAAAAUCCCUUGUUAAAUGAGCAAGUAAAUUAUUAUUUUAUGAUAAAUGAAAAUAGUGUACUAAUCAAUGAGCUGAGAAUGUUAUUUUCUAAUUAAUGAGUAUAAUUCCUAGUAAAGAUUGGCAUUGAGGUUAAUAUAUUGAUGAUAAGUUACUUCAUUCAAUCAACGAUGCAGUGAAUGCGUUUUUAAGCAUGAAUUAAAUUGUUUUUUUGAUUGUUUAUUAGUAAAUUUUAAUAUUACCUAGGUAUAUAUACAUUCCAUAUGAAUAUGUUUUUAUAUAUCUGCACUCUUUAGUUGGGAAGUAGAUGUAUUGAUGAAAGUUUUUUUAUAGAAUUAAUUAUGUAUUUGAAGAAAUUAAUAUUUUAUUGUUAUGUAACCUGUUGUUUAAAAUUUUAAAUGUUUAAAUUAUAUUUUAUAUACGAUGUAAUUGAGGAUAUUACCUCAUUGAGGUAGCAUAUAAUUUUGUUGCACGUCAAAUUAAACAUGUCUAUUUUUUAAAGAAAUUGAUGCUUGCUGUGAACUAAUCAAUUUUAAAAUUUAGUUUUAUGGAAUAUUAUAAUGCUAACUCAAAAAAAAAAAAAAACAAGAAGAAGAAGAAGAAGAAGUUGAUAUUGUAGUUGAGUUGUGAAGUUAGUAUAACGAGACGAGCAUUGUCAUUAUUAUCUGUAGGUUAAAUUUUUUUUCAAGUCAAUAAUUUAUUAUUAAAAAUACAAAAAAACUUUACUGAAAUUCUAAUAUAUAUAAAAAAUCACACCCAGUAAAAUCAACACAUGUAUAUAUACAUACAUACAUAUAUAUAUUUAUUUAUAUAUGCUUUUUUUUUGGGCUGUUACACAAGGUGUACCGAAAGAAACCCCACCGGAUCCGAGGCUUGUCGUAUUGAGAUAUUGUCGGGCGCCAAGUUUACUGACUACUCACCUACCAGUACGCUGUGCCUUACCGUUAGAGAUCUUUGGAUGGUUUAGGAAGAGUGAUAUUUUCUAGUUUAAUUAUUUUCCAGUACGUGGCCUUGGCCCAGCAAGGUUUGUACAAUUGUAGGCGAGGUGUUUUGCAGCAGCAAAAGAGGGCUGUUUGCAAAGACAACAUUAGAGGCCAAGGCCCACGGGCCAGGCACACUCCUAGUGGCUGGGCUCGAACAGAGGGUGUUGGAUGUUUGCCCACCACUUCGGCUCGUACACUCGGCCAGCACCUGGGCUCGGUCAUGUUUCCCGAUUCUUAAAGGAAUGUGAAUUUAGUAAUUGAUGCUGUAAUUAUUAUGGAUUUAUGCUAAAAGUGAACAUCUUUUUAUAAGAGUCAAUCGAGUAAAACUAGCUGAAUUACUUUUUUUAUGCCCAAAUUAAACUUAAAAAAAGGUUGUUGUUUUGGAAUUUUCUUUAUUAUUAUUGGAUUUUUUUACUUGAUUAGGUUUGAAAUAUUUAUUUAUUUUAUAUUUUAUUAGUUAUGUUAGUUUGGCUUAUUAUUUAAAACAAUCUUGCAAAUCAUUGAUAUUCAAAACCUGUUAAAUUAAAAUUCUCUUUACAGCUUACCUGUAAUUUUAGAGUUUACCAGUCAAUUGCUUACACACUAUCCUGAGAAGAUGUAAUGUUAUUAUGCGUAUACAAACUCGGCGAGUUAUUAUGGUGAUUUCAAUCUUUAAACCGAACUAAAUUUUAAAAUAAAUAAUGAGAAAAUUUAUUUAAUUUAACAUGGUUGACUUGUUUACCGCACUCAUUAUUUAGUUAAUCUGGCCAAAACAUAAAUUUAAUUUUGUUCUUAUUUUAGGAACGAAGAGGAUUUAGAUUUAAUUUUUUUUAAAAAAAAAACUGCUUAUAAUGUUUUAUCAUAUUGUAUAUUCACAACACUCCAAUUUCCUUAUGUCUUGCAUACAUGUACAAUUGUGCAAAUUGACUGCCACCCAAAAAGUAGCAAAUCAAUGCAGGCAGGAUGUAUGACACGUGACUGUUAUUCUUUCCAUUAGAAGUGAAAUAGGAGGGAAGUAGUUCAACACUUCAACUGAUAGUUAUUGGAUGAGGGAGAGUAAGAUAAUAAUUAUUUUUAGUAGUUAUAAAUUUAUUAAAAAUGUAUUUUUUUUUUAAAUAUUAAUAUAUUAAAAUUAUUUUAAAAAACUAAAAAAUAAAUUUCAAUAAAAAUCAAAUUUUAAUGAAAAAUAAAUUACUCUGCAACUCAAACAAGAUCUAGGACAGGUUUGUUUUUUAUAAAAUGGUUUUCGAGAAACUAUUUUCCAAACUUUUAUGUGUUUGUUUGCCAUUAAAGAAGUUGGUCAAUGAAAAACAUUUUCCAGUUAAAGAAAAAUUUUACUUAGUUUCUAGAAAAGUGUUUUCCUGAAAAAUUUGAAUAGAAAACACUUUUUGGAAGUUAUGAAAAAUUUAGAAAUGUCAUAUUAUUUGCUGAUUAUAUCAAAUUUGGUCCUCAAACUUUUAAUUGUUAUAUAUAUUUUGUUUUGAAUAUUUAUUUUUCAAUCUCAUCUUCUAAAAUUUAAUUUUUAUAUUAAUUUUGGUACUUAUUUUUAUAAUUAUUAUUUGUUUUUUACUUGUCAUUUUUUAUUGAAAUUUUUUAUUGAAAUUUUUUAUCUAUCAAAUUUUGGUACUCAUUCUUUUGAUUGUUACUUAUUUUAUUUGAAAUAAAUUAUGAAUGUUAAUUAUUAUUAUUUUAAUUUAUUCAUCUUUUAUUUUUUUUUAUUAGAUUAAAUUUCUAUUAUUUUGAUUAUUAUUUAUUUUAUUUGAGAUAAUUUAUAAAAUUAUAUUUUUUUUCAAUUUCAUUAUUAUUGAACUUUUUAAUUUGUAAAAUUUAUUUCUCAUUAUUUUAAUAAACUUGAAAAAAAUAAAAUAUCAAUAAGCUAUUUUACAGCUCAUUUUCUAUGAUAUAACCAAAUACUAAAAAGUAUUUUUUAAUUUAUUUUUUAUUACACUAACAAACAUCAAAAAAUAAUUUAUUUUUAAAAAAAAAAAAAAUUUUUAAAAAAACUAUUCUUUAGCAAACAAAAUGCCUAAAAAUAUUUGGGAUUGAGUUGCCGUGAAGUGAGGUUAGAUUUUUUUUGCAGUACGAUCCCUUUUGAAACACAAAUAUCAAGAAAAUCCACACCCACUGAAAAUUAAAAACACAUACUCUUUAUUAAUUUUUUUUAAAAUCCCAUAAAAAAACAAAUCCUUAUCUUGCCUCACCCAAAUCCAAAAGACACCUUAUAAUGCUUAGGUUAUGCAGGCCACGUAACCUAUAGGUAGAGUCACAUCAAGAUAUCAAUCAAAAGUCAUGGAAGAAUAUAUGGUUCAUAUUUGAGAAAGAAGCGGAAGCAUGCGUGGGCGUGCCCUACAUAGAGCUUCUAGUGGUUUUGCCUUCGGAACGGUGAACCCGGGACUCUCGGUCAUGUCCACCAUUUUAUCACCAAUCCUCUGCCACUCGAAACAUUGAAGGAGCGAGCCCAAUGCUAACCCCACCACUCUCAGGGCCAAGCCUUCUCCAGGACAGCUCCUCCUUCCAUGCCCGAAAGGCAUCAACUUGAACUCGUCUCUUCCCCCCUCCGGGUUGUCGAACCUCUCAGGUCUGAAUUUUGUAGGGUCUGGCCAGAUUUUAGGGUCAUUUUGAAUGGCCCACGUAUUUACAGAGAGCAUCGUGCCCCGUGGAAUGCGGAAUCCUCCAACCAGGCAUUCUUGUGAUGACUCAUGAGGUACUAGCAACGGAGCUGGAGGGUACAUCCGCAACGUUUCGUUGAGGAUGCUGCGGAGGUAGGGAAGGUGGGCAAGAUCAGCUUCAUCCAUCAAACGAUCAUGCCCAAUCUGCUCGUCGAUUUCUCUUUGAGCCUUCUCGAGGACUUGGGGAUGGUUAAGCAAAAGUGAAAGUGCCCAUUCCAUUGUAAUAGAUGAAGUGUCUGUUCCCGCCAAUAAGAGCACCUGCAAGCCAAUAGGCAGUGGAGAUAUCUUAUUCUAGCUGGUGUAACUUGACACGGCAACAACUUCUAACAGUGGAGAUAUCCUACUGCUUGAAUAUUCUAAUACACAAGUUUGCUAUUGCGCAUUUUCAUUUUCUUGACAAAAGGAAGAUCCAAAGACAAGAUAAUGAAAAUUUAACAAUCCUGAAUUAUGACUUAAACAUUAAAGAAAAGUGCUCCAUUAUGAUAUCACUACUCAAUUGAUCAUAAUAAUCAGUAAAUCAAACAACAUGAUUAAAGAUCUUACCAGCAUAAUCCCUUUGAUGAUAUCGUCCGUGUAAUACGCAGGUUCAGUUUCUUGCAGCGACAGCAGAACCUGAAUCAAAUUCUUUUUCUUUUCGCCACAACAAUCACCCUCCAAUAUUUUUCUCCGUUGCUCUUCUACCAAGUACUGCAUGAAACUAUCCCUCUUUAUAUGGCAUUCUAUCAGUCUCUUCUCCAUCUUUUUUGAUUUAAUCCACGGUAUAUAGUCUCCAAUAAUGGUUUUUCCACCUAACACGAAGGCUUCAGCAUGAAUUGCUCGAAACCUUUUUGCUUCUUCCACAUCUGAAACAUUCUCUCCAUAAUAUCUUUUUCCAGCUAUCAUCCGCAUCAUGAUGUUCAGUGUCAGUUCGAAGAAAACUGUCUUCAUAUCUACAAUCUGACUCUGAUUACGAAAGAGAACACAAAUCAUUGACUUCACCUCCUCCAGACGUAUGGCAGAGAGCAUUUGGAGGCGGUAUGCAGACAAGACUUCAAUAGAGACGAUCUUCCUAAGGUUUCGCCAGUGGUCGCCAUAGGGAGCCCAAGCAAGGCUUGUGCUGUUGUAGGCGAGGUGUUUUGCGAUGAGCAAACGUGGGCGAUUAGCGAAGACAACAUCAUUUUUUGUAAAGCAUUCCUCAGCUAUGGAAGGGGAUGAAACAACAAGUAGUCGACGAGAUCCGAGUUGGAGCAACAAUACAGGGCCAUGUUUACUAGAGAUUUUUGAUAGUGUCCUGUAAAUUGGCUUCUUCAGUAGGUAGAGAUGGCCAAUGAUUGGCAGUGAAGGGAAUGGACUAGGUGGGAAGUUUUUUAUCUUGUCUAGGAAGUGCCUUGUUAUGAUAUACAACGCUAAAAUCACAAGAAAGUAGAGAAUCAAGGUUGCCAUGGAUUUGUGAAUGGCCACUGUUCUUGUUUUUUAGGAAGGUGUAUGAAUUAUAUUGUGCUAUGCAUCGAGACUAUCCAGAUACCCAUUACUUUAGUACAGUAUUCGAAUCCAAUAAAUUCUCAAAAGUCGUCCAUGCCUGUCUACUCUCACCAUUUAAAAAAGGGUACUAUGGACGUGAUGAGGUCAGUGCAAACGCAUUACUGGUGAACUAGUGACAUGCACAGUUUCUAAGACCUUUUUAAACAUACUUGUCUGAUAUGAGAGGCAUGUUUUUUUAUAAAAAAAAAUUAAUAUAUAAUAUAAUCUGAAUUAAUAUAUAAAUUUAUUUUAAAAUAUCAUUUAAUAUCAAAUAAAAAAUAUUAGAAGAUAAGCUUUUUAUAAAAUACAAUUUGAAAAAAAAAUUAUUUUAUUUUUUAAAAAGUUAAGCGAAUCCACGGCAGUCUAAAAAAAUAAUUUUAUUGGUGUUUGAUUUUUUUAAAAUAAAAUUCUUUAAUUCUAUUUAAAUAAAGUUUUUUUUUUAAAAAAUAAAUAAAGCACAGCCCUUUAAAAAGAAGUUCGGGAGUCUGGCCUGAUGGACACCAAUAACCAUAGCUGUGUAAAGCAACCGUCCAGUCUAGCAUGUUGACUCAGAAAACUGAAAUUUAGAAUCCGAUUCAGACAGGUUUUCUAGUUUAAUGAUACAAGACACGACUGCACUUAUAUAGAGGAUUUUUCUAAGGUUUCGCCAGUAGUCCCCACGAGGAGGCCAAGCAAGGUUUGUAAAGCACCUUGCUUGCAGGGCCAUGUUGACAAGGAAAUUUGGACCAAAAAAAAAGGUUUGUAAAGCACUCUUCAGCUAUUGAAGGGGGCGAGUCGAAAAGAGCUCUACGGGAACCGAAGGGGAGCAAGAUUGCAGGGCCAUGCAUGUUGACAAGCAAAUUUGGACAAGUGUCCAGUAAAUUGAUUUCUAAUGGAGGUAGAGAUGGCGGAGACUGGUGGCGCAGGGAAUGGACUUGGUGGGAGAGGGAGGUUUCGGAACGAGGACAAAAAACUGAGUGAAUAAAAUAGAUGCUAGAAAGAUAGCAGGCAGAAAGCGACAGCAAAAAAAGACAAAAAUUAUUAUAGCAAAAACAUAAUAGUAUUUCCCAUUAUCGAGUGUUGAAGAUAUUGUCAAAUAUAGUAAAAAGACAAAAAUUAUUAUAGCAAAAACAUAAUUGUAUUUGCUUGCUUAAACGAAUACUGUUACAUCAUGGUACUAUAUAUAUUACAAUUCUUGAUUAAAACAAUAUUAUAAUUAAGAAUGUAAUGAAUGAGAAGAUAUAUAUUUAAUUUCUAGAAUAUUUGUUGUAGAUAUAAUCAUAAUCAUUUUUAGUAUAAGUAAUUUCUUGUAUAGAUAUAAUUAAAAAUCAUGAUUAUUUUCAAUAUCAGUGAUCCCUGAUCAUGAUAGUAAUUUUUUAUCAUAAUUAUCUUUAAUAUCGAUAAUCUCUUGUGUGUUUAUGAUAUUAUCUUCAAUAUCAAUAAUCAUUGAUUAUAAUUAUUUUCAGUAUCAAUAAUAAUUUCUUAUACAGAUAUAAACAAAGAUCAUGAUUAUCUUUAGUAUUAGUGAUCCUGAUCAUGAUAAUAAUCCCUGAUUAUGAUUAUCUUCAAUAUCAAUAUUAUCUUCAGUGAAUUUGAUAAUAUCUUCAACCUAUUGUGCUAAAUAAUGAAUAUGCCCAAAAUAUUGUUGGUAAGCUCUUAGAUCUUAGAAGCAUCAAAUAUUUUUGCUUUGUUUUGAUUUAAGAAUCUAAAUUGAUUUUUUUACUCGUUAAUCAUUUGUUGAUUGUAUAUAUGAUAGUGGGUUUAAUAAGAGCUAGUACAUGCAAAAGAUAGAAUAAAAAAAAAGGUUGAUGAUCUUUGAGUUGAUUGGCUCCAUAUAAAUCAUUGCAUUGCAUAUCUUCGGACUUCAUUUAAAAGCUUAAGCUUUUAGAUUGAAAUAGUUAUUUGAUAUGAUAUUAGAGUCUUGAUGACUAAACGAUCACGAGUUUAAACCCAAAGGGUUUUUACUUAAAAGGAUGUAUUAAAAAAUAAUAUAAAUUAUAUCCUGGAAUCUCAUAUAAAAACUUAAGCUUUUAGAUUGCAAUGUAAUGUUAAAAUUAUUUUUAAAAUAUUUUUUAUUUAGAAAUAUAUUAAAAUAAUAUUUUUUUAAUUUUAUUUUUAAUAUCCAAACAUGAAAAUAUUAUAAAAAUACAUUUUUUUAUAUAAAAAAAACAGGUUAUCUCAGCAUAAUCAAGAUAGAUAUGAUAGAAUAAUUCAAAGUUAGAAAUUUGAAACACGUGGAUGAUAAAGAAAAGGUCUCCUCGAGAAUUUUCUUUUCGUAGAGGCGUGUCGUUGGUUUCUAGGAUCAGGUUGCUAUGAAUUUAUGCACUAGAUUUGGAAAAGUUAUUAUUCCCUUUCAAUUAUAUGUGUACUGUUGUUUCAUGAUUCUCUAAAUGACUCUGUACUUGACUUUGCCUUUUUCACUGGUUAUCGAUCAUUGAUUUUCCUUAAUUCCAUAUAUAUUCCAGCAGCAAAUUUGGACGAUACUGCUUGGAUAAGGGAGCGCAAACCAUGAAUCAUGUCUAGCAUUUUUUUUUUCCUUAAAAUCAUGUUUGUGUGUUUUUUUUUUAUAAUAUAAAAAACAAGAUAAAUAUUAUUUUAAUAUAUUUUUGAAUAAAAAAUAUUUAAAAAACCAGCCGGCACUGUGAUACUAAACACUAUCUCUAAUAAGAGAGUUUGCAAUUUUAGCUAGCGAUCAUUGAUAUCCAGUCGCAUAUCAUUCGGAUAGAGUUGCUAAAAGCAUAUGGUAUAGACUAUAGACACUGAUUUUUCUAGAUAAUAACCAUAUAAUAUAGUAAAGGUGUCAAAAAUAACUUUGCAAGUAGACAACUUUAAAGCAAGGAGACACAAGAGGUAGGGUCAUGCCACCACGUUGUCAUAGCAAAAAAAUAAAUGGGCGGCUGAGAGUGCUUCCUUUCCUUUAAAGUAUCCACAACAUAACAUUAUCCCCGGCUCUAAUGGUAUGGGCGUCAAUUAUUGUUCUUAUGAACACUGCUUCUUCUUGCAUUUUUUUUAAUAGAUCCGCAUUUUAUUGGGUUAUGGGCGUCAAUUAUUGUUUUAUGAACAGUGUUUCUUCUUGCUUUUUUUGUUUUUUUAAUAGAUACACAUUUUAGUGGGUUAAUUCCACCUUUAUGAACAAGGUGACAGGUUUGGAACAUUAGUUUUAGUGGAUUUUAAAUUUUUUUUUAUUUUUUUUAUUUUAUCAUUAAAAAUUGAGUGGGUCAAGGGUUUAAACUUCUUCCUUUUGUUAUUUUAAUCUCGUAUUUCAAGUCAUAAGAUUAGACGGUUAACCUCUUGAUUUUGAUUUUUUUUUAUCCUUUAACAUUAUGUUAGUUUUAAAAUUAAAUUUUAUAAUUUUAUUCAAUUUUGUUUCUAUGCUUUUAUCUUGGUUUUAUAGCUAGUUCACAGAUUUGAGAGGCUCACUUAAGUAAUUUGAUUUUAAAUUUUUUUCUUUAAUAUUUGAUUUACUAGAAAUUGAACUUCUUAUGUCUUUUUCUACAUUGAUUUUUAUGUGGUUAUUCUAUUCUUGUUUUUUCUAAAAUUGAAUAUUGAAUAUUGAAUAUUUAAAAUUUUAUCAUUCAAUUUAAUAUUGUAUUAUUUUAAAAUUGAAUGUUAUUAUUUGUUUCAAUUUAUUUUUUAUAGGAUUAUUGAUAGUUAAUUUAAAUUGACACAAUUCAAUUCAAUAUAUUGCUUUUUUUAUAUUUAAAAAAUAAUUCCCAACAUACCAUAGUCUCAUUGUUGAAAAAUGUAUCAUUAUAGAAUACUCUAAUGGGAUAUUUAUUGUAGCAGGUGUUUUUUUUUUCUGUAGAAUUUUUUUUUUCCUGCUUUGUAUCUUCUACUAUUUUUUUACAUGUUUUUUUUUCUUUUUUCAAAAUUAUCUUUGUUAAUUUUUUUUUAAAUAUUGAGCUAGUUGAAAAAUUAACUAUGUAGUUUUUUUAAAAAAACAUUUAUGGAUUGCUAUAAUAUUCUCAUACAUUGUUUUUUUUUAUGAUUUUUUUAUUAUUAUUUUUUUUCAAAAUGGUCUUUGUAGAUUUUAUUUUUUUUAUAUUAAGUUGGUUGAGAAUUUAGCUUUAUAGUUUUUUUUUAAAAAAAUAAUAUGGAUUGCUACAGUAUUUCCCCUACAUAGUUUUUUUUUUUGCUGCAGUGUUUCCCCACAUGUUUUAUUUUUUUUGCUUUUGUUUCUUUUUUUUUUCUUCCGUAACAAUUUUUUUUUCCGCUUUUGUUUUUUCUGCUUUUUUUUUAACAUGUUUUUUUUUCUUUUUUUUUUAACCCAAAAUUGACUUCUUCUUCUUCAUCUUUUUCUUUUUUUUUUUCAAAAUUUUUUUUUCUAUUUUUUUUUAAAUAUUGAGCUGGUUGAAAAUUUAACUAUGUAGUUUUAAAAAAAAAAACAUUGUGAAUUACUAUAAUAUUCUCAUACAUUGUUUUUUUUUCUUUUUAUGAUUUAUCUAUUCUUUUUUUUCUUUCAAAAUGGUGUUCUUAGAUUUUUUUUAUAUUAAGUUGGUUGAAAAUUUAGCUUUGUAGUUUUUGUUUUGCUGCAGUGUUUCCCCACAUAUUUUUAAAAAAUUAUCUUUAUCAAAUUUAUUUUUUUAAUAUUGAGCUAGACGAUAAUCUAACUUUAUUUUUCCCCACAUGUUUUUUUAUUUUUUUUUAUAUUUUUCCAAAAUUGUCAUUUUUUACAUAUUUUCUUCUUUUUUUUGCUUUGUUUUUUUCAGAAUUAUUUUUUUUAUUUUAUUUUUUUGCUAUUGAGUUGAUUGAAAAUUUAGUUUUUUUUUGUUUUUUUCUUUAAAACACUAUAGUUUUCCCCGCGUGUUUUUUGCCGCUUUUGUUUCAUUUUUUUUACAUUUUUUUUACCCAAAAUUGACUCUUUUUUUUUUGAAAAUAGUCUUUGUCGGUUUUUUUUUAAUAUAUUAAGCUGGUUGAGAACUUAGUUUUUUAGUUUUUAAAAAAAAACACUAUGGAUUGCUACAAUGUUUCCCUUGCAUGGUUUUUAUUUGGCUGCAGUGUUUCCCCAACAUUUUUUUAAAAAAAUUAUCUUUUUUGAAAUUAUUUUUUAAAUAUUGAGUUGGUUGAGAAUUUAGCUUUAGCUUUAGCUUUCCCUACAUUUUUUUUUAAAAUUUUUCCCAAAAUUGUCUUUCUUCUUUGUAUUUUUUUAUCAUAAUUAUUUUUGUUAAUUUCAUUUUUUUACUAUUCAGCUGAUUGAGAAUUUAGUUUUGUAAUUUUUUUCUUUAAAAUACUAGAUUUCUACAGUGUUUUCUAUGUGAUUUUUUAUUAAAUAAUUUUUUUUUCUGAAUUAUCUUUAUCGAUUUUUUUUUCAUAUUAAGCUGAUUGAGAAUUUAACUUAUAGUUAUUUAAAACACUGUGUUUUCCCACAUGAUUUUUGUCUUGCUACAAUGUUUUUGCACAUGUUUUUUUUAUCGAUUUUUUUUUCCAAAUAUAUUUUUGUCAAUUUUAUUUUUUUUCAUACUGAACCGGUUAACAAUUUAGCUUUCUUUUCCUUAAAACAUCGUUGAUUGCUACAGUGUUUUACCUUAUGAUUUUUUUAGUUAUAUAUUUUUUUAAAUUAUCUUUGUCGUUUUUAUUGUUUUUAAUAUUGAGCUGAUUAAAAAUUACAACUAUAGAUUUUCUCAUGAAACACUAUAGAUUGUUAUAGUGUUUCCCUGCAUGUUUUUUUUUUAUAUUUGUCAAAAUUAUCUUUAUUGAUUUUUUUUAAUAUUGAGCUGGUUGAGAAUUAUAGUUUUAUAUUUCCUCACAAAACACUAUAGAUUGCUACAAUGUUUUUUUAAAUGAUUUUAAUAUUGAGCUGGUUGAAAAUUGAGUUUUAACUUUUCCCACGUGUUUUUUUUUAUUUGUUUUUGUUUUUUGUUUUUUUUUCUUCCAAAAUUGUCAUAUUCUUUUUUUCAUUGUUUUUGUGUUUUUUUUUCAUAAUUUUUUUUUUGUCGAUUUUUUUUUUUAACAUUGAGCUGGUUGAGAAUAUAGCUUUGUAGUUUUUUCAUUUAAAAUAUUUGUGGAUGGUAACAAUUUUUUUUAUAUGAUUUUUUUCACAAAUCCAUGAUAAUGCACAAGCAUGCUACAAGCCCGCGGCAUCGCGCGGGCAUGUCCCGCCUUUGACUAUUAUAUUUACUUAUUAAUAUAUUAUAUUAUUAUAAUUAUUAUAUUAUAAUUUAUAAUUAUAAUUAUUAUAUUAUAAUUAUAAUUAUAAUAAUUAUUAUAUUGUAUUAUAUUAUAUUUUUUUGUCGAUUUUUUUUUUUAACAUUGAGCUGGUUGAGAAUAUAGCUUUGUAGUUUUUUCAUUUAAAAUAUUUGUGGAUGGUAACAAUUUUUUUUAUAUGAUUUUUUUCACAAAUCCAUGAUAAUGCACAAGCAUGCUACAAGCCCGCGGCAUCGCGCGGGCAUGUCACACCUUUGACUAUUAUAUUUACUUAUUAAUAUAUUAUAUUAUUAUAAUUAUUAUAUUAUAAUUUAUAAUUAUAAUUAUUAUAUUAUAUUAUAAUUAUAAUUAUAAUUAUAAUAAUUAUUAUAUUGUAUUAUAUUAUAUUAUGUUAUAUUAUAUAAAUAUUUUUUCUUUUUAAUUUUUUAGUGAAUUAUUUUUGUUUGAUUUAAUUUGUUAAUGUUAAUUUUUUUUUAUUUAGUUAUUAGUUUUUCAUGAUACGGAUCUCGGGUUUAAUGGGUUAACCUGAUUUGACAAUUAUUUUUUCAUUUAGUUUAGUUUGUUAAAGUUAAUUUUCUUUCUAUUUAAUUAUUAUACUUUCAUACUUUCAUGACACGUGUCCUGGGUGUGACGAGUUAACUUGGUUUGACCGGUUAACCCAGUUAAUUCUGGGUAAACCCGUCAUUUUUUUUUCUAUUUAGUUAUCAAGCUUUCAUGACUCGAAUCCCAGGUUUUACGGGAUAACCUGGUUUAAAGGGUUAACCAAAUUAAUUCAAUUUUUUUUUCUUUUUCUUCAUUAGUUUUUUUCUUCUUGUUGAUUUUUUUUCUUUUUUUUUAAUUAAUCUAUUUAAUUAUCACACUCUUAUGACACGACAUUAUAGCCAGACCCACAUCCAAUAUUCUUUGGUCCGGUGUUGCAGACAGAAUCUCUUAAACUUGGGUCAUGCAAGUUUAGUUUUAUUAUUAAUAUUAUAAAUAUUACUUUUAGGUAAGGCGUUGCAGCCAAACCCAAGAUUCUUGGGUAUAGUUUUGCAGAAAAACCUAAAAAUUUUAAAUUUUUAUUUGUUUUAAUAUUUUUUAUGUAAAAAAAAUUACCCGCAACAUCGUGCGGGUCAUGUAUCUACUCUAAUCUAAUACGUGUCAAAUCUUGCAUUAUUGCUGAUUUUUUUUUUUUUUAUCUUAAGAAACAACACGUCAAUUUUUUUUGUUUGAAAAAAAUAAUAUUGCACGCACAACAAAUGCGAGUGAAUGAAGUAGCCACACUGCAUUGUUUGAAAAUUUCCCCUCUUUUUUAUUUUUUACAUGCUGUACAGUGAAAAAAGAGAGUUGUUGCCGCAGCAGCGUACGGUCAAGCCACCUAGUUAUAUAUUAAAUAAAACGAAAACAGUACUUGAGGUCAUUGGCUAGCGGGAAAAGAGACUUAUUUUCUUCCUCUGCACCGGGUUAGAUUUUUUUUGUGCAUUUAUAUAAUUAGUUGUGAUGUACUGAUGUGUAUAAACUGAUUUAAAUAUUCUAGAUUAUAUAUAUAUAUAAAAAAAAAAACAAAUCCACAAAAAGCAAUCACGAGCCACGAAUUUUGCCAGGGUUGAACUCUAGGUAGAAUGCGUUGAAUACAAGGGCCACCUAAGCUAAGAAACAAGACUUUAAGUUACCGAAAGAGGCUGGCAAGUACUUUUCAGACAUGGAAAACGGACAGAGAAUAUGGUAAAAGAUUCAGUUUUUCAUUCAUUUGACCCUGUAGGUUUCUUCGUGUAAGUUUUUCAACUCUAUUUUUAUCACGUUUUAGUCAUGAGUUAUAAAAUAAAAAAAAUCAUAAAAAAUAUAAAAUUAUAAUUAAUCAACACUCCAAUCAUAAAAAUAAAAUAAAAUAAGCAUGGUGUCCGUAAUAGAGGUGAUUUUGUAUCUAACUAUACUAAAAAAAAAAAAAUCAAGAAUUUGUUUUUGUUUUUACCUGGUUAUCCUCAUAUCCUUUUAGAGGGUGAGAUUAAUUCCGUUCGAGGUUUGUGGUUGCUUCUUCCAACAAGUACACUUUUUAGAUAUUAAACUUGUAUUUUUAUUUUUACAGGGAUAUAGUAGUGUUUUAAUUGCUACACCAAUAUUUCAUUUAUAUUAAAAAAUUAGGACUUAUAAUGAUAUUUUUAAUUCGGUUUGAAUUUCAAGUUUUAUAGUGAUUAAUUUUUUUUUACAGUUAAAAUGAAGUUUUCAAGAUUUAUAAUUCGGUUUGAAUUUCAAGACUUAUAAUAAUAUUUUUAAGAUUUCCAUGAUAUUUUAGAAGGUUUUAGUUACAAAUAAAGUUUAAAAUUGAGUUUUAAAUAUAUAAACUUAAACACCAAUUUUCUAGCUGCCAAAAAUCCACCGGAGUAUAAGACGGAUGACUUGUCAUCUGAUAUGUUAAAAAAAUUUACAAUCCUCCUAUUUAAGUUUUUUUUAAAAAACAGAGUGAGAAAGAUAGGUGCGUGAUUUUAGCUUUCCAAUCCUAUGUGUUCCUGGGGUAAUCUUUUGGACGUGCACAAAGCUGUCCUCCAAAAGCUAGGUGCCCGUAGCUCUUUCGUUAUAUAGAUUGUAACAUUGUUUUAUUUCUUUUUUUAUUUAAAUUCUUAGAAUAAAGUUUUUUUUUUUAUAACUUUAUUAAAAUAAUAUUUAACUAAUUAUCCAAUUAUAUCACAGUUUUCAAAGAAUUAGAGUAUAUUUUUGUAAUAUUAACAAUUAUAGGAUGAUUAGUUAUACAUUAACUUAAUAUAUGUAAUUUUUUUUAAAAAUAAUUUGCUAAUCAACCAUCAAUAAGAAUAUAAUAUUCAUUUUGUUAUUAUAAAUAUUUUAUAUAAUUUUCUUAGAUUAUUAUUUUUAUAUUUACUAUUACUUAUAUAUAUAAAAAAUCAAAAUAAUAUUAUUUUAAUAAUAUAUUUAAAAAUUCCUUCAUCUAUCAAUCACUGAAUUAAUUUAGUUGUACAUCAACUCGUUGAGUGAUUUGAAUUUAUCUAGCAAACAUCUAUCUUAUUUUAAAAAAGAAAACCGGGCCCAAGUUAAAUUUUAGAUUAAUAAAUCAUUGUGUCGAUUCGCUGAGUUUUUGGAAUUUAUUGUGAUAAAUUUAUAAAUAUCAGGUAUUAAUUAUUUUGAUUUACUAGAUACCAUUUUCUAUUAAUUAUUAAUUACCCGAGUUUUUCAUAUUAAGUUAUCGGAUAUUUUAAUUAAAAUAAAUAAAUUUAAUUACCUAAACUAAAAAAAUGAAUCAAUUAUUUAAUAUAUCAAUUUUAUUUCUAAGCACCUAAUUCUAGUACUCAUCACUGGCAAUCGUUUCAAUUAUCUUGUAAUGUAUUUUCCCGUAGAUUUCUAACACCCUCAAAACUUGCUGCAUAAAUUCGAUGACUUCAUAGUCAGUGUUGUUGUCCAAAACAAAAAUCGGGACCCUGUUGGCUGCUCUAAUAUUCACGAAGUGGCAACAAGUUUUCCUUUUUUUUUACUCGUUAUGCUUCAUUUUUUACGUUUUUAUCUUAUAGUUAAUUUCAUGCUAUCUGCUGGAUUAGAAAAAGGCAUGACAAAUUCAAUUACUAAACAACUAUCGUAGCAAAGAGACUGUCAACAUACGACAAAAGCAUAUUGGAUCCAUUAACUAUUAAGCAUAUUUAAUAACUAUGAUUGUAACUAGUUAUGACUGGUUUGUCUCCCUCGUCUUGAAUGAAGCCCAAACGCUUAGAGUUAUGGAACAGUCCUGUGAAAGCAGAGCCUUGGCGUGGACUUGCAAUCUCAAGCAAGGCCCAGACAAAAAGCGAAGAAGACACAUGAGGGCCUCACUUCAAACUAGGCUUAUAUUGUUUGGUCAUAUUACAAAUUCUCACAGCACACCAAUUUCCUAAUGUCUUGCCAAGGCUGCAUCCUUGCACAAAUGUGCAGAUUGAUUGUCAUAGAAACGGUAGCUUAUAAAUGGAGGUAGGAUAUAUGAUAAGUGACUGUUAUUCUUUCGAUUACAAGUGAAAUGGAAGGCAGCCAUUUUUUCUUUCAUAAUCAAUUCUACGUGGUGUAUAAUAAUGUAUUAUUGUUGUCUAUCAAGACUCACAUGAUAAUAAAUAGCAUUGGUUAUGCUGGUCGGAUAACCUACGGGUAGAGCCAGAGACAUGUCAUGAUGCCAACCACUACCGAGAGUCAUGGAGAAAUACAUAGUUUAUAUUUGAGAAAGAUGCCUUAGCAUGUUUGGGCGAGGCCUACAUAUAACUUCCAGUGGUUUUGCCUUCGGAACGGUGAACCCGGGGCUCUCGGUCAUGUCCACCAUUUUAUCACCAAUUUUCUGCCAUUCGAAACAUUGAAGGAGCGAGCCCAAUGCUAAUGCCAUCACUCUCAGGGCCAAGCCUUCUCCAGGACAGCUCCUCCUUCCAUACCCAAAAGGCAUCAACUUAAACCCAUCUCUCGCCACCUCUGGAUUGUCAAACCUCUCAGGUCUGAAUUUUGCUGGGUCUGGCCAGAUUUUAGGGUCAUUUUGAAUGGCCCACGCAUUUACAUACAGCAUCGUGCCACGUGGAAUGCGGAAUCCUCCAACCAGGCAUUCUUCUGACGACUCGUGAGGUACUAGCAACGGAGCUGCCGGGUACAUCCGUAACGUUUCGUUGAGGAUGCCGCGGAGGUAGGGAAGGUGGGCAAGAUCAGCUUCAUCCAUCAAACGAUCAUGCCCAAUCUGCUCGUCGAUUUCUCUUUGAGCCUUCUCGAGGACUUCGGGAUUGUUAAGCAAAAGUGAAAGUGCCCAUUCCAUUGUAGUAGAUGAAGUGUGUGUUCCUG
rnacentral:lncRNA from 1 species